rnacentral:pre_miRNA from 1 species
AGAGGUAGUGGGUUGCAUAGUUUUAGGGCAGGGAUUUUGCUCACAAGGAGGUAACUAUACAACCUGCUGCCUUUC